rnacentral:rRNA from 1 species
UUGGACGGGGCCCGCACAAGCGGAGGAACAUGUGGUUUAAUUCGAUGAUACGCGAGGAACCUUACCUGGGCUUAAAUGUAGAGUGCAUUUUUUAGGGAUAGAAAUUCCCUUCGGGGCUUUCUGCAAGGUGCUGCAUGGUUGUCGUCAGCUCGUGCCGUGAGGUGUCGGGUUAAGUCCCAUAACGAGCGCAACCCUUAUCGUUAGUUGCCAUCUGGUAAUGCAGGGGACUCUAGCGAAACUGCCACCGUAAGGUGAGAGGAAGGUGGGGAUGACGUCAAAUCAGCACGGCCCUUAUGUCCAGGGCUACACACGUGUUACAAUGGUCGGUACAGAGGGCAGCUACCUGGUGACAGGAUGCUAAUCUCGAAAACCGGUCUCAGUUCGGAUCGAAGUCUGCAACUCGACUUCGUGAAGCUGGAUUCGCUAGUAAUCGCGCAUCAGCUAUGGCGCGGUGAAUACGUUCCCGGGCCUU